GUGUCAGCAGCCGCGGUAAUACAGAGGGUGCAAGCGUUGUUCGGAAUUACUGGGCGUAAAGCGCGUGUAGGUGGCGAGAUAAGUCGGGUGUGAAAUCCCUUGGCUUAACCAAGGAAGUGCAUUCGAUACUGUUUCGCUUGAGUAUCGGAGGGGUCGGCGGAAUUCCCGGUGUAGAGGUGAAAUUCGUAGAUAUCGGGAGGAACACCUGUGGCGAAGGCGGCCGACUGGACGAUCACUGACACUGAGACGCGAAAGCGUGGGUAGCAAACAGGAUUAGAUACCCUGGUAGUCC
rnacentral:rRNA from 1 species